UUCUGUUUAUGGGUUUUGUCAAAUUUCGUCUCUGGUCAAAUAAUGUAUGCAUCCUGCUCACUAUAUGGUCAAUGGUGGUGGCUGGAGACGCUUACGCACAGGUACGUGCCACCGUUUUCUUCUCCAAUGAAAAGCUUACAGGUUAUCAUCUCCCUUUCUCUCUCUUUCUCCAUCAAAGGCCAUUAGCUAGCACCAGAUGAUGUUCCACCGGACCACAAGUACUACGUAUUCGUAUGAUCAUAUCUUCACUUCAGAACCGCCGAUCCAGACUGCUUCACGCACUCCGCCUACUACCGGUCGUGGCGUCUUAGAAUUGCAGUCUUUCUCCGUUUCAAACACUUUGAAGCACAACUGUGUUCAUGGAGGAAGCGGAGGAGAACGGAUGAUCGAUUUAAUUUUUAACUUCAUCUUUCGAUUCUUAGUAAAAUUGAGAAAAAUCCAAAUCGACAUGGAGGGUUUGAUUUUCUCGCUUCCUCCUCUAAUUUUUGCUAAUGUCUUAUUCGCUUCAAGGUUCUCUUCCCGAUUCUUCUCCGAUAAAGAUGAAUCAGUUAAGGAGUUGAAAUUCACUGAGAUAUGGGAGAGGUUUAAGCAAGAUUGCCUAGAGAAAGAUAACUGACUUUUAUAUCCAAGUGAAGCUUUGGUUUUAGCUUCUUGGCUGGAGGAAGAAAAGGAAGCAGGAAAAGGCAAAAUAGGUUCUUUCUGGCAUAUGAUCUUUACUAAACCGGAGGUGGUUUCAUGUAAUGUAAGUAUCCAUCUAUAGUUGUUGACAAAUAAAAAACUCCUGAAACAUUCGUAGUAUAUAUCACUUAAACUACUAAAAUGAGUGUUUUUUGUAGAUGAUUUCAUUUCUUAAGAAUCCGAUAGACAAAUGCUUUUUGUCAGGUAGAUAAUGUGUAUUUUUUAUUAUUAUUUAUAUAUGAAUGAUUAAUUGCUGAGUUUAGGCAACAAGAUCAGCUUAAGGGAGCAAAAGUGCAUGACAGCAAAUACACAACCCUUCCCAACGUACUAAAAUUUGCGCUUGGAAUGGAAAGGACAUCAUCUUCAAGCAAACUAAAUAUUUGUUUCCAUAUAAUACUGUCUCUUAGUGCGAAAUUGAUGGAAUGAAAAAGAUUUUCAUUAUUCUUGCAUUUUCCCCAAAAUUGAAUCGAAAGCUUACCAACAUACUAUGCAUAUGUCAGCUUUCAAGAAAGAUAACUUCCAACUACAACAGCCACAUCAGAAGAUUGGAUUAAACGGAUACAGGUGCUAUUUGGGCAAAAUCGGGAAAAAAAUUCGGCUAAGUUUCAGAUAUAUCCUUCUCAAAUAAUGCAUGCUCAAUGUAGAUACUACUAGAACAAAUUACUCUACCUCUACUACUUUUUUAUCGUAUAACAGUGGAGAUUAAACAGCUCCAAGGGCAAGAUGGUCAUUACAACAGGUCAAAAUCGAAUCAUAUGAGUGUUUUUGCAGUUUACUAUUAAUUUAUUAACGAUUUCUUAAGGUUUUUUUUUGUUUUUAGUUUUUGGAUACGGACAACCAUUGAAACAUAUAGUCGAAGGGAAAUCAUGCAUUAGUGCUCAGAUUACACACAUAUAUAUUGGCUCUGAAAUUAUAUUAAUGCAAAAAAUAGCAACAUACUUAUAUUUAUUUGUGUUCUAUGUCACCCUAUGUUCAUUACUUUCUAUUACAACAUUGUAUUGUUUAUUGUAGGGGCAAUUUGGUAUAAUGGGAUGCAUCAAGAAAUAGAUGUAGUUUAUGCUACAUUUGUGAGAUAGCAAUGUACUUUUGUCGUCAAAAAAUGGUCUAUAAAGCUUAAUAAGUUUCAUGAAAAUGAUUGUGAAACUUAUAAUAUUUUGCAUCAGUAACAAUAACCCUUCCGACCCAUGCGAAGCAUGGGCAACCUUACUAGUUUGUAUUAAUUGGGUAACUUAUUUUGCAAGAAAUUGAAAUUAGGUCAAAUAUAGAUAAUGAUAAAAUUAAUUGUUUAAUUUAUAUUAUUUGUUAUUUGAUCCUUGUGUUAUGAAAAGUUUCAAUUUUCCCCCUUUAGGUUUUAUAGUUUAAAUUUGAACUCAAAAGUUUUUGUUUUUGAAAUUUAAAUAGUUGAAACCCUAAUGUUUUGAAAUGUUUCAAAAUUUGCCCUCAAGUUUUGGAAUUUAAAAGUUGAUUAAAGGUUUAAUUUAGGAAUGUUAAAUUCUAAAACCCUAGUAUUGUUUUGAAAAGUUCAUUUCACACCCUUAUGGUUUUAUUAAUUAUUUAAGGUGUAUAAUUAAAAGAGGUUUAAUAAAUCCAUAAAAGUUUUGGUUUACAAGUUAAUUGAAUUAAAAGUAUAAUUGUUAAAUUGGACCACCUAGUAUUUUAAAAGUGUAAAAUACACCUUAUACUAUAUAUAACAUUAAAAGUCUAACACUAUAUAUAUGUAUGAUUAAAACUCAGUCUUACCGUUAGUAGGCCUCAUUCACGAAGUUGGUCUAUAAGGGGUGUUUAAGGAAAUUGCCUAUAAAAUGGCGAUUGAAUGGGUAUCCACUCUUAGCCACCGCACUCUUGACUAGUGGAGGGUCGUUAGCCGAACUGGUAGGAUGGGACAGAACCUUCCAUUAUAAGUAUAACAAAGUACAAAAGUAACUAAAUGUUUAGGCAAAAGUGAAUUGAUGCAAUUCCAUGAAAUUACACUUUGUGCCCUUGCGAAGACGUUAGUGGAGCGUGUGUGGUUUACCGGCACACUAAAUGGUUCUAAGCAAAGGUAGCAAAGGGUGACUCAAUGUUUGUCAUAGUUCGGUGGAGCGUGUGUGGUUUACCAGCACAUCGAAUAGGUGACUGUAACAUGUGAGGGCACCAUGUAAGUUUGCAUGGUUAUUCACACCUGCUUUGUGAUCCUCGGCAUCCCAGUCACAAACUAGAGGGUCAUAUCGAGAUUUAAACAUGCCAUUGAAAUGUUCAAUGAAUCUCAAAGGAUCUAGGAGUUUUCAUAGAUUUAAAACUUAAUUUUUUUUUUUCGUUUUUCAUGGUGGAAAAUUAGUGAAUCGUCAUUCACUUACCUUCAAAUGUUCUGCAAUUUGGGUUACGGCAUCCCUCUCCCGAGUUGUGGAAUAUUGUGUUGGGUCCUAGCCUUAAUAUCUCAUUUGGGUGAUAUAUUAAGGACUUAAUCAAUCAACUAACUUGAAUUUUAUUUUUUCUCCCGUUUUGUAGAUGUCAAUGUACGAAAACUAUGGUCUUCCCAAAUCCCGUGGAACAAGCAUUCCACAUGAAGAUGAUAUUCCACGAUUCGAUCGAGGAACAAGAAAUCAUGCUUCACUUCCUCCACCUCCUCCAAUUAUUCUCCCUAACCCACAAGAUCGAAGAAUUGAAAGGUUCAAUGUCACUAAAUCCCUAUUGGAAAUGAAACAUGAAGAUGGUAAACCCGUGUGUGCCCACCUUCUAGGAAUGAAAUCACACAUCGAUAGGUUGAUAAUGUUGGGUGCGUCAUUCCCUAAUAAGUUGGCUGUGAACUGGGUUCUGCAGUCACUUCCUGAAUCAUAUAAUGAGUUCAAAAGAAAGUAUUAUAUGAUGGACCAUGACGAAAACCUCAUUGACCUAACUUACAUGCUCAUUGUUGCUGAAUCAGAAAUGAUUUGGCAAAGCAAUGGAGCAUAUUUGUUAGGAAAGUCAACCAACCAUGCUUCCGAGGACGUUCUAGGAGAAUCGACCUGCGUUUGCUGCCAAGAGAAAGGGCGUUGGAUACAAGUCUGCCCUAAGAGCCUGAAGAGUCCAGAAGAUGGGAAAGUCAAAGAGUAUGGCUGUGCUUCAGGAUCAAUGAAAAGAAAGGAAGCUUGAUGAAAGAGCAAGAUAAGUCUAAUCAUGAAGAAAUGGAUCUCGAUCGCAUGGAUUUGAAGAUUAGAUUUUGAGCUUAGAAAGUUAUGAUAAAGUUGUUAGGAAUUUUCUUUUGACUACAUAAUUUUCAGUUGAUUUUGCAUUGUAAGGACAAAUGUUUUCCGCUGCUUUUAUGAUUAAAAUAAAUUUUGGUUUGACUCA